AUGAAGCAAAAGAUGGUGAUCAGGGUGCACAUGACCUGCGACAAAUGCCGGUCCAAGGCAAUGGGCUUGGUGGCCUCCAUAUACGGAGUGGAGCGUGUGGAGAUACAAGGCGAUGACAGGGACCGGCUGGCGGUGGUCGGAGAUGGGGUGGACGCCGCCAACCUGACGGCCUGCCUGCGGAAGAAGGUCGGGAACGCGGACCUCCUCACGGUGGAGGCGGUCGUUCCCGAGAAGAAGCCGGCACCGGCAUCGGAGGCCACCGAGGCUCCGUGGUAUCCCGGCUACUACUCCUGGCCGGCAGGGGCCUACUCCCACUGCUAUCCGUACACGUACAGCAUGUAA
rnacentral:rRNA from 1 species